GAUGAACGCUAGCUACAGGCUUAACACAUGCAAGUCGAGGGGUAACAAGAGAAAAGCUUGCUUUUCUUGUUGACGACCGGCGCACGGGUGAGUAACGCGUAUCCAACCUGCCUAUAACUAGGGAAUAACCUUGCGAAAGUAAGACUAAUACCCUAUGAUUUCCUUUGAUGACAUCAGAUUAGGAAUAAAGAUUUAUCGGUUAUAGAUGGGGAUGCGUCUGAUUAGCUUGUUGGCGGGGUAACGGCCCACCAAGGCAACGAUCAGUAGGGGUUCUGAGAGGGAGGUCACCCACAUUGGAACUGAGACACUGUCCAAACUCCUACGGGAGGCAGCAGUGAGGAAUAUUGGUCAAUGGGCGGAAGCCUGAACCAGCCAAGUAGCGUGCAGGAUGACGGCCCUAUGGGUUGUAAACUGCUUUUAUACAGGAAUAAAGUUAGCCACGUGUGGUUAUUUGUAGGUACUGUAUGAAUAAGGACCGGUUAAUUCCGUGCCAGCCGCCGCGGUAA
rnacentral:rRNA from 1 species